rnacentral:rRNA from 1 species
CAAGUCGAGGGGCAGCGGGAUGUAGCAAUACAUGCCGGCGACCGGCGGAUGGGUGCGUAACGCGUAUGCAACCUACCUUAUACAGGGGAAUAACCUUUCGAAAGGGAGACUAACACCCCAUGGUAUUGGUUUAAGGCAUCUUAGAUUAAUAAAUAUUUAUAGGUAUAAGAUGGGCAUGCGUAUGAUUAGCUAGUUGGUAAGGUAACGGCUUACCAAGGCGACGAUCAUUAGGGGUUCUGAGAGGAAGGUCCCCCACACUGGUACUGAGACACGGACCAGACUCCUACGGGAGGCAGCAGUGAGGAAUAUUGGUCAAUGGGCGCAAGCCUGAACCAGCCAUGCCGCGUGCAAGGAAGACGGCCUUAUGGGUUGUAAACUGCUUUUACAUAAGACUAACCGUAUAUUUGCGAAUAUACCUGAAUGUAUUAUGAGAAUAAGGAUCGGCUAACUCCGUGCCAGCCGCCGC